AAUUAAGCUUCUAGUCAGGAACUGACUGCCUGGAACCUCUUGCCUGAUUACUUACCUGGCAUUGCUCUUGAGUACUCAUCUUCAACAUCUUAUGCUUCUAGAGAAGAUACCACAUCUGCUUGAGGAACAGAUAGGGCAAGUGAGAAGGAUACAAGGAAACAUAUGGAGACAAGCGUAACAGAACACGUGCCGAUACAUCCACUAC
rnacentral:lncRNA from 1 species